rnacentral:lncRNA from 1 species
UAGAGGAGAGUGUGCACAGAGGAGAGAUCAUGUGAGGACACAGCGAGAAGACAAUCAUCUGUAAGCCAAGGAGAGAGGCCUCAGAAAAAAAUCCACCCUGCUAAGAGCUUGAUCUUGGACUUACAGCCUCCAGGACUAUCUCAAAUUAACAGCCCAUUAUUAUGGAAGUUCUUUAUUGAUCGCCAAAAUGGGUUAGGUAUACCUGUUAGACAUAAAUUCUGGCCAGAAUUCUAUGCUUUAAUUAAAUAGUGUCAAGGGAUUGAUCGCAGCAUAUUGAUCCAUAACUGAACAUUUUAUCCAUGAAGUCACAGGUCCAGUGAGUCAUCAUUGCCUAGAAUACCCUACUUCAAACAAUGAAACUCACUUUCAAUCUAUCAUCAUCUUUCACUCUUCAGUGAAACCCCAUGUAGCUUCCAGAUGUGGUUUCAGGAUUUCUCUAUAUUGUUGGAGAGAACAAGAACCUGAGACCUGCCGAACAGCAGGUGCCAAAGAUGCUGCUGUAACACCACAGCCCUCCCAUCUUCCAUCCUCCACUGGCGCUGAGUGGCAGUCCCAUGUGACAGGAAGUGGAGGCAGAGCUGGGCCAGCCCAGGAGCCACGUGCUGGAGCCAGAUACUCUGUUUUUCUACAAAUGGAAAGUUUGUGGCAUCCUUGACUCAAGCAAAUUUUUCAGCACCAUUUUUCAAGAGCGUGUGCUCACUUCACCUCUCUGUAUCGUGUUUUGAUGCUUGUCCUGGAAACCAACCAUGAGCUGUGAUGAAAUCCAGGCAACUGAGUUGUGUUUCAGCCCAAAGCAGCAAAUGGAAUCCAGCUUCAGGACCAUCAUCUGACAUAGGGGAAGAAGACUUACAUAGAAGGCCUAACCAGCACCCAAGAUCAUGCUCAUAGGUGGAGGAGACUUGCUUUGUCUCAGAUGAGACUUUGGACUGUGGACUUUUGAGUUAAUGCUGAAAUGAGUUGAGACUUUGGGGAACUGUUGGGAAGGCAUGAUUGGUUUUAAAUAUGAAUAUAUGAGAUUUGGGAGGGGGUCAGGGGUGGAAUGAUAUGGUUUGGCUCUGUGUCCCCACCCAAAUCUCAUCUUGUAGCUCCCAUAAUCCUCCCAUGUUGUGGGAGGGACCCAGUGGGAGAUGAUUGAAUCAUGAGGGCGGGUCUUUCUCAUGCUGUUCAUGAUCCCAUUCAUGUGAGAAAGACCCAUGUGAUCAUGAAUGGGUCUCACAAGAUCUGAUGGUGUUAAAAAUGGGAGUUUCUCUGCACAAGCUCUCUGCCUGCUGCCAUUCACAAAGGAUGUGACUUGCUUCUCCUUGCCUUCUGCUAUGAUUGUGAGGCCUCCCUAGCCAUGUGGAACUGUGAGUCCAAUUAAACCUCUUUCUUUUGUAAA